rnacentral:pre_miRNA from 14 species
AAGUGGGUCUAUGGAGACAACAAUGGUUGCCAAUCCCGAACGAGACCUCAAAGACCCCCCAGAGCGGGGAGACCCUCACUCAAAUCCCAGGAUAACACGAUCCCCCAAGAACUCAUGUGAGACC